CCUACGGGAGGCAGCAGUGAGGAAUAUUGGUCAAUGGACGCAAGUCUGAACCAGCCAUGCCGCGUGCAGGAAGACGGCUCUAUGAGUUGUAAACUGCUUUUGUACGAGGGUAAACUCAGAUACGCGUAUCUGUCUGAAAGUAUCUUACGAAUAAGGAUCGGCUAACUCCGUGCCAGCAGCCGCGGUAAUACGGAGGAUUCAAGCGUUAUCCGGAUUUAUUGGGGUUAAAGGGUGCGUAGUGGGUCGGUUAAGUUAGAUGUGAAAUCCUGAGGCUCAACUUUGGAAUUGCCUUUGAUACUGGUCGGCUAGAGAGUAGUUGCGGUAGGCGGAAUGUGUGGUGUAGCGGUGAAAUGCUUAGAGAUCAUAAAGAACACCGAUUGCGAAGGCAGCUUACCAAGCUACUUCUGACGUUGAGGCACGAAAGCGUGGGGAGCAAACAGGAUUAGAUACCCUAGUAGUC
rnacentral:rRNA from 1 species